rnacentral:rRNA from 1 species
UACAGAGGUGGCAAGCGUUGUUCGGAAUUACUGGGCGUAAAGGGCGCGUAGGUGGCCUUUUGAGUCAGACGUGAAAUCCCCCGGCUUAACCUGGGAACUGCGUCUGAUACUGGAAGGCUUGAGUUCGGGAGAGGGAUGUGGAAUUCCAGGUGUAGCGGUGAAAUGCGUAGAUAUCUGGAGGAACACCGGUGGCGAAGGCGGCAUCCUGGACCGAAACUGACACUGAGGCGCGAAAGCCAGGGGAGCGAACGGG